rnacentral:rRNA from 1 species
CUUCCGUAGGUGAACCUGCGGAGGGAUCAUUACACAAAUAUGAAGGCGGGCUGGAACCUCUCGGGGUUACAGCCUUGCUGAAUUAUUCACCCUUGUCUUUUGCGUACUUCUUGUUUCCUUGGUGGGUUCGCCCACCACUAGGACAAACAUAAACCUUUUGUAAUUGCAAUCAGCGUCAGUAACAAAUUAAUAAUUACAACUUUCAACAACGGAUCUCUUGGUUCUGGCAUCGAUGAAGAACGCAGCGAAAUGCGAUAAGUAGUGUGAAUUGCAGAAUUCAGUGAAUCAUCGAAUCUUUGAACGCACAUUGCGCCCUUUGGUAUUCCAAAGGGCAUGCCUGUUCGAGCGUCAUUUGUACCCUCAAGCUUUGCUUGGUGUUGGGCGUCUUGUCUCUAGCUUUGCUGGAGACUCGCCUUAAAGUAAUUGGCAGCCGGCCUACUGGUUUCGGAGCGCAGCACAAGUCGCACUCUCUAUCAGCAAAGGUCUAGCAUCCAUUAAGCCUUUUUGUCAACUUUGACCUCAGAUCACGCCGUAUUACU